rnacentral:lncRNA from 1 species
AUGUUAGGAACAGGAGGAGAACCUCGUCCUAACAUGAGCAAAAUGAAAGUCCGAUUAUUUUAAGAUCGGAUCAGGGGAGAGGCCCAUAUAACGGCCCUUGGAUGCCCCCUGGGCCAUGUUGGGGAUGGGAAGAGAACCUCGCCCUAACAUAGGUAAAGUCAAAGGCCCGAUUCUUUUAGACCGGAUGGGGGGAGAGGCCCUACAACGUCCUUACGCGCCCCCACAGCCAUGUUAGGGACAGGAGGAGAACCUCGCCCUAACAUGAGCAAAGUCAAAGGCCCGGUUCUUUUAGAUCGAAUAGGGGGAGAGGCCCUACAACGCCCUUACGCGCCCCCACAGCCAUGUUAGAAACAGGAGGAGAACCUCGCCCUAACAUGAGCAAAGUCAAAGGUCCGGUUCUUUUAGAUCGGAUGGGGGGAGAGGCCCUACAACGCCCUUAUGCGCCCCCACAGUCAUGUUAG